rnacentral:rRNA from 1 species
CCUACGGGAGGCUGCAGUGAGGAAUAUUGGUCAAUGGCCGUAAGGCUGAACCAGCCAAGUAGCGUGAGGGAAGACUGCCCUAUGGGUUGUAAACCUCUUUUAUCCGGGGACAAAGGUGUCCACGUGUGGAUGUUUGCAGGUACCGCAUGAAUAAGGACUGGCUAAUUUCGUGCCAGCAGGCGCGGUUAUUAGGAAGGGCCGGGCGUUAUUCGGUUUUGUUGGGUUUGAAGGGGGCGUAGGCCGGUCUUUAAACGUGCCGUGAAAUUUUGUGGCUCAACCAUGGGAGUGCGGCGCGAACUGGAGACCUUGAGUGGGCGGAAGGCAGGCGGAAUGCGUGGUGUAGCGGUGAAAUGCAUAGAUAUCACGAAGAACCCCGAUUGCGAAGGCAGCCUGCCGCAGCGUUACUGACGCUGAAGCUCGAAAGCGCGGGUAUCGAACAGGAUUAGAUACCCCUGUAGUC